rnacentral:rRNA from 1 species
AUUGAACGCUGGCGGCACGCCUAACACAUGCAAGUCGAGCGGUAACAUGUUUUGUAGCAAUACAAGAUGAUGACGAGCGGCGGACGGGUGAGGAACACGUAGGAACCUACCCAAGAGAGGGGGAUAACCAAGGGAAACUUUGGCUAAUACCGCAUACACUCGGGAGAGGAAAGACGCCCUGUAAGGGGUGUUACUCUUGGAGGGGCCUGCGUCCGAUUAGCUAGUUGGUGAGGUAAGAGCUCACCAAGGCGAUGAUCGGUAACUGGUCUGGGAGGACGACCAGUCACACUGGGACUGAGACACGGCCCAGACUCCUACGGGAGGCAGCAGUGGGGAAUCUUGGACAAUGGGGGCAACCCUGAUCCAGCGAUGCCGCGUGGGUGAAGAAGGCCUUCGGGUUGUAAAGCCCUUUAGGUUGGGACGAAGUUGCGUAGAAGAUAAUGCUAUGUAAUUGACGGUACCGACAGAAUAAGCACCGGCAAACUCUGUGCCAGCCGCCGCGGUAA